rnacentral:rRNA from 1 species
UACAGAGGUCCCGAGCGUUGUUCGGAUUCACUGGGCGUAAAGGGUGCGUAGGCGGCUUUGCAAGUCUGAUGUGAAAUCUCCGGGCCCAACCCGGAAAUGGCAUUAGAAACUGUGAGGCUGGAGGCUUGGAGGGGGAACUGGAAUACUUGGUGUAGCAGUGAAAUGCGUAGAUAUCAAGUGGAACACCGGUGGCGAAGGCGAGUUCCUGGACAAGACCUGACGCUGAGGCACGAAAGCGUGGGGAGCAAACAGG